GACGAACGCUGGCGGCGUGCCUAAUACAUGCAAGUAGAACGCUGAAGAGAGGAGCUUGCUCUUCUUGGAUGAGUUGCGAACGGGUGAGUAACGCGUAGGUAACCUGCCUUGUAGCGGGGGAUAACUAUUGGAAACGAUAGCUAAUACCGCAUAACAAUGGAUGACACAUGUCAUUUAUUUGAAAGGAGCAAUUGCUCCACUACAAGAUGGACCUGCGUUGUAUUAGCUAGUAGGUGAGGUAAUGGCUCACCUAGGCGACGAUACAUAGCCGACCUGAGAGGGUGAUCGGCCACACUGGGACUGAGACACGGCCCAGACUCCUACGGGAGGCAGCAGUAGGGAAUCUUCGGCAAUGGGGGCAACCCUGACCGAGCAACGCCGCGUGAGUGAAGAAGGUUUUCGGAUCGUAAAGCUCUGUUGUAAGUCAAGAACGGGUGUGAGAGUGGAAAGUUCACACUGUGACGGUAGCUUACCAGAAAGGGACGGCUAACUACGUG
rnacentral:rRNA from 1 species